AUCCGUCCUCCAGAAGAACCGACGGCGGGGAAGCAAGGGACCGGCAGAACGGCGCCCCCAGCCCCCGGCGUCCCCUCUGCCGGCCUUUACCUCGACCGACCCCACGGGGGCUGCCGGAGCUAAAAUUAGGCGAGCGCAGGGCGCGCUCACGUGCACCCCGCUCACGGGGGGCCAGGGGUACGGCCCGAGUGACUCACGGCCCCGCCCCCACCCGCAGAGGACGCGCUGACGUCAGCCGCUUCCCCGAAGGGUGACGUCAGCGCGCCUCGGGAAGGCCGCGGGGCCAGCCUAGAAUGUUCACUGAGUUUCAAUGCCUUAAAGGGACCAGGCCUUGGAUCGUGAAAGAUGGGGGGCGAGGACCCCGCUCACCUACGCGUAGAGUCGGAGCCAGUUUUAUAUCCCCUUGUACUGAGAGAAGGUGAUUGCUGAGGUGUGUGACCUGGAACAAGAAACUCUCCGGAUGUGAACUUUGUGAACUGGUAUCCACCCCUCCUUUUAGGCUAAUGUUGCCUGUGGACGUUCCCGGAGGCAAGAACCCCGGCCCGGGCUUCGCCAUUGAGCACAAUCACAGUCUCACUGGGGACUCAGAAUCCACUGAGGUUUACCGUGUGGCAGGUUUGUUUCUUAUACUUCCUCCGCUCUUUUUAAUUCUCUCUUCUCUCUGAGAUGGUUGUUAUUGUCCCCAUUUUACGGAUGAGGAAGGGAAUCCGGGCACCGCAGGAUUAAGCAUGUUUCCCUAGGUUACACAGCUUAAGGAACCACAACCUGAAAGUCACUCCCACGUCAGUUGGACUCCAAGUCAGUGUUUUUGGUGAUGAAGGUGGGCUGUGAUACUGUGUUUUAUUCUGGGUGUAUCGAGCCCUGGAGAGUAGUUUUUCCCCUUUACCGCAAUUCCAGUGCCUCUGAACAGGUAACCCACAAGUAACCCCAGCCUGCGGAUACAGGAGAGCGAGACCUCAGGGCCUGGCCUGGAUGAGGGUAAGGUUUUUUGGAGCUUCUGACCGAACACCCUGUGUGUCUCCCAUGGAAGCCUUGGGAGAAGAUGGAGAAAACCACAGGCAGCCUCAGCUGUGGCCAGCAGCUCUCCCUCUGUACUGGGGCUGGACAUGCAGACAUGGAAGCUUAGAGCAGUAGGGGACCUUCAGGCCAACCAGGCCAGCCCCUGUUUUACAACCAGGGAACUGAGGUCCAGGUGAAGUGACCUGCCCGGGGCCAUGUGGCCUGUUAUGUAGAGAGUCCUAGUCACUUGAUUAGCAGCUCACUGUGCCUUUCACGGUUCACACCUCUGUUAGGAGUCUCAGGUGAAACAGUGAACAUAAAUGUGCACGGGGACCUUCCCGACCCAGGGAUCACACCUGUGUCUCCCGCACUGCAGGCAGAUUCUUUACCAUCUGAGCCAACUUAGGCGCAUUUCCCAGUGGAAUGAGAACAACAGUGAGUUGGACUGCCGUUUUUAAACCUUGGGUAAUCAAGAUGUUGUGUGUCAUUUCAGGUUUUGAUUAUUUUAUCUCCCAGCCUUUACUUCCUGUCAUUUUCCUAUCCCCCAAAACCCCAUUAAAUGUUGUUAAGAGCCAUCAUUGUAAUUGGCCACUAACCUGGAAGGACUGUGAUCUCCAGCAGACAGCCCCAGCAAGGAAAGGAGCAGGGAUCCUGGGGCUGUUUCCCACCGUGCCGGUGACUCACGGGAUGAUACAAAGCAAAGCGCUUCUUUUGUGUGGGGGCGAAACGGAGAAGGGCACACACAGCUACUUGCCUGACAGAAGUGUGGGUUGGUAGGGAGCCGUUGGCAGGCUCCUGGCAUAGCGGAAGCCCAGGGGUCUCUGGGUACACCCGGGUUCUCGAUGACCUCUUAGCAGCGGCUGCAGGGUUAACCCUGAGCUCUGUCUCGCUUGAGCACCAGCCUCCAUUGGAGCCACUAAGAUGGUUGGGCGGGAUUAUGGCACUUGCCCUUUGUGCUGUCAUCCUCAUUGGUUAAGAAUGCACCCUGGUUAUUCCUAACUCCACUUUAAUAACGUGUUAUAGAUCUGCCCUCCAGGAAUUUAUUUGAAACUUUCUUUAAUCUAUUUUUAUUUCAGCUUGUACAGCGUGUUCAGGCAACAAGGAGGUUUACCAUCUAUGUAAAAGCACUAAAGGGCUUCCCUGGUGGUUCAGUGGUAAAGAAUCCCUUUGGAGAAGGAAAUGGCAACCCACACCAGUAUUCUUGCCUGGGAAAUCUCAUGGACAAAGGAACCUGGUGAGCUAUAGUCCAUUGGGGUCACAAAUGAGUUGGACAUGACUUAGAAAUUAAGCAACAACAACAAAAAACACACCAAAACACAGAAGGUGCUAUAUAAAGGCUUUUAUUGUAAUCAUACCAAUAAUUUUUUAAUUAUAAUGUUAAAUGUAAUAAAUAUAAUUGGAUGAUGCUAAUUCAGAUGGUUUCACAGGCUUA